UUCUGAUAGGAGCAGCCAGAAGAGAAAUUUCCGUGAAAUAUUUCCCUUGGAGCCACACGCCGCACGAUAUGGUGCACUUAUCUGUACGCGGAUGCACUGCCAAAAUAUACGAGCAUCGUAUAAAAGUCGGCUAACAUCGCAGGAUAACAUCGCCUGGCUUAGUUUAUUGCAAGAUUACGCGAG